rnacentral:rRNA from 1 species
GAUGAACGCUGGCGGCGUGCCUAAUACAUGCAAGUCGAGCGAACGGACGAGAAGCUUGCUUCUCUGAUGUUAGCGGCGGACGGGUGAGUAACACGUGGAUAACCUACCUAUAAGACUGGGAUAACUUCGGGAAACCGGAGCUAAUACCGGAUAAUAUUUUGAACCGCAUGGUUCAAAAGUGAAAGACGGUCUUGCUGUCACUUAUAGAUGGAUCCGCGCUGCAUUAGCUAGUUGGUAAGGUAACGGCUUACCAAGGCAACGAUGCAUAGCCGACCUGAGAGGGUGAUCGGCCACACUGGAACUGAGACACGGUCCAGACUCCUACGGGAGGCAGCAGUAGGGAAUCUUCCGCCAUGGGCGAAAGCCUGACGGAGCAACGCCGCGUGAGUGAUGAAGGUCUUCGGAUCGUAAAACUCUGUUAUUAGGGAAGAACAUAUGUGUAAGUAACUGUGCACAUCUUGACGGUACCUAAUCAGAAAGCCACGGCUAACUACGUGC